GCUGCGGUAGCCUCAAUGGUAAGGCGCCAGUCUGAUGAACUGGAUCUUCUCUCAAGAAGAACUCUGGGUUCGAUUCCCAGCCGCAGCG
rnacentral:tRNA from 1 species